rnacentral:rRNA from 1 species
UGAACGCUGGCGGCGUGCCUAAUACAUGCAAGUCGAGCGAACAGACGAGGAGCUUGCUCCUCUGACGUUAGCGGCGGACGGGUGAGUAACACGUGGAUAACCUACCUAUAAGACUGGGAUAACUUCGGGAAACCGGAGCUAAUACCGGAUAAUAUAUUGAACCGCAUGGUUCAAUAGUGAAAGACGGUUUUGCUGUCACUUAUAGAUUGAUCCGCGCCGCAUUAGCUAGUUGGUAAGGUAACGGCUUACCAAGGCAACGAUGCGUAGCCGACCUGAGAGGGUGAUCGGCCACACUGGAACUGAGACACGGUCCAGACUCCUACGGGAGGCAGCAGUAGGGAAUCUUCCGCAAUGGGCGAAAGCCUGACGGAGCAGCGCCGCGUGAGUGAUGAAGGUCUUCGGAUCGUAAAACUCUGUUAUUAGGGAAGAACAAAUGUGUAAGUAACUAUGCACGUCUUGACGGUACCUAAUCAGAAAGCCACGGCUAACUAUGUG